rnacentral:rRNA from 1 species
GAUGAACGCUGGCGGCGUGCCUAAUACAUGCAAGUCGAGCGAAUGGAUUAAGAGCUUGCUCUUAUGAAGUUAGCGGCGGACGGGUGAGUAACACGUGGGUAACCUGCCCAUAAGACUGGGAUAACUCCGGGAAACCGGGGCUAAUACCGGAUAACAUUUUGAACCGCAUGGUUCGAAAUUGAAAGGCGGCUUCGGCUGUCACUUAUGGAUGGACCCGCGUCGCAUUAGCUAGUUGGUGCGGUAACGGCUCACCAAGGCAACGAUGCGUAGCCGACAUGAGAGUGGGAUCGGCCACACUGGGACUGAGACACGGCCCAGACUCCUCCGGGAGCCAGCAGUAGGGAAGCUUCCGCAAUGGACGAAAGGCUGACGGAGCAACGCCGCGUGAGUGAUGAAGGCUUUCGGGUCGUAAAACUCUGUUGUUAGGGAAGAACAAGUGCUAGUUGAAUAAGCUGGCACCUUGACGGUACCUAACCAGAAAGCCACGGCUAACUACGUGCCAGCAGCCGCCGUAA